UACGUAGGCGGCAUGUUAAGUCAACUGUCAAAUCCUCCGGCCUAACUGGAGAUCGGCGGUGGAUACUGAUGUGCUAGAGGAUGGAAGAGAGAAGUGGAAUUCUUGGAGUAGCGGUAAAAUGCGUAGAUCUCAAGAGGAACACCGAUGGCGAAGGCAGCUUCUUGGUCCAUUUCUGACGCUAAGGUACGAAAGCGUGGGGAGCAAACA
rnacentral:rRNA from 1 species